AGAGAUCAAGACCAUCCUGGCCAACAUGGUGAAACCUCGUCUGUACUAAUACUACAAAAAUUAGCCGGGCGUGGUAGCAGGCACCUGUAGUCCCAGCUAUGGGAGGCUGAGGCAGGAGAAUCAUGUGAACCUGGGAGACGGAGGUUGCAGAGAGCUGAGAUCGCACCACUGUACUCCAGCCUGGUGACAGAGCAAGACUCUGUCUCAAAAAAAAAAGAAACAUCCAGAUGUCCUCUUACUGGAAGGGCAUCAUAGUUUAUCCUGCACCUGACACUAAUAUACCUACUCUGGGAAUUCUUCUACCUACAACUAUUUAUCUGAUCCCAUCAGGUAUUAAAGUUCUAAAAGUUAACAGAAUUCUUAAAGGUUCCCAAUCCCUCCCAGAAACCCCAUCAUCUCAAAGUCACUAGCUAUUAAAAGAAGCAAAAAAAAAAAAAAAAAGUGGCUCCUGACCUAGUCUCUUUGAGUGUGAAGACCUAUUUACUAUAUAAAGCUGUCACCUGCCUUGAAAAGAUUAAGACAGCAAGAAAGUUCUUAGAAAGUGGGUAUGUGGCUGGCCUCAGAUAAGGAGAAAUUGUUGAGAAGAAGGAGUUGGGUUUUUUUGUCUUUUUUUGUUUCUUGUUUUUGAGACAGGGUCUCGCUGUAUCUCCCAGGUUGGAGUGCAAUGGUGCGAUCACAGCUCACUGCAGCCUCAACCCCCCAGACUCAAAUAAUCCUCCCUCCUCAGCCUCCCAAGUAGCUAGGACUACAGGAUGCACCACCAUGCCUAUUGUUUCUAUAGCAGGGUCUUAUAAUAUGGCAGACACGGUGGCCUCCCACAGAGAAAUGAGCCAUAAAAGGGCCCUGUAAAAGCAAGGAUGGCUCAUUGUUUUAAGACAGCCAAAUGUAUGGCACUUGGAGAAUUUCAAAGAGUAGAAGGCCUUCUUGAUUGCACUCCCCUUUAACAGGCUUGCCUCUUAUGGGGCUAUGUGUAGCAUUGAAGUGGUUCACAAGUGAAAAUGGUUAUGCGUAGUGUGUCAGCCCCACCCUAAGCUCCCAGAGCCUCCAUUCUGAGUACAAAGGUCAGUUUUCUUCUCGGGACAGGCCAAGGAUGAUGGGGUUUUCAUUUCUCUCCUGAUCCAUGGCAAAGCAUUCCUAAACUAGGCACUGGAAGUCUUGGUAACUGGAAAGAGACAUUCACCAAGAUGAGGAAGGCCAAAGCCAAGUGCCUUAUAUAGUCCCUAGAAAGCAUUCCAUUUUAUGGAGCAAUUUUUGGUCUCUCUUUUUUUUUUUUUGUGAGACAGUGACUCAGGCUGGAGUGCAAUGAUACAUUCACUGCUCAUUGCAGCCUCAACUUCCUGCUAUUCUCGAACUCCUGACUUCGUGAUUUGCCCACCUCGGCCACCCGGGAUUACGGGCGUGAGCCACUGUGCCCGGCCUACAGGUUUUAAAAUUUAUUAUUAUCUAAAUAUUCAUUUUAAAUAUUAAUUUUAGUGUACUUCUUUGAUUAUUUUCUUUAGAGAAAUUUCUGAUUUCAGAACCAAGUUUAUUAGCUUUCACUGUGUACAUUAGCACCAUUAAAACUAGCUAGACCCAAGAAGCAGUAUUGAAUGGGUACCCCUUCUUUACUUUCCUUUGAUUCACUCUACUCUGGCGCUCACAGCUAAGUAAGUAUGUACAGCAAUGGCCUGUCAUUAUUCUAUUAUCUUUUGUGCUCUGAAAUGUCUUUGUUUUUUCAUCUGCUCUCAAUACCUCUAUGCUCUGACCCUUUGUAUAUAAGGGUAACCAUAUUUGUUCUUUCCUGCGAAAUAAUAAUUCUUUUCCUUCCAUUCAGAGUAGCUGCCUGACUCAUACAAUGAAUAAAGUCACAUAGACUCAAAAGAGUAGAGAUGGAGGUCGGAUGUGGUGGCUCGUGCCUGUAAUCCCAACACUUUGGGAGGCUGAGGUGGGAGGAUCGCUUGAGCUUGAGCACAGGAGUUUGAGAUCAGUCUGGGCAACGUCGCGAGACCUCAUCUCUGCCGAAAAAUAAAAAUUAGCUGGGUGUGGUGGUGCAUGGCUGUGGUCCCAUGUAGUCCCAGGUACUUGGGAGGCUGAGGCGGGAGGUCAUACAUACUUUUUGUUGUUACUGCUUCAUCAUUGGUUCUGAUCACUCAGUGUUCUUUCCUUUACACCACAUCAUAAUACAGUAUUCCGACUUGGCAACUUAGCUCAGUUUAUUACGAAUAGUCUUUAAUUAAUUUAGUAAAUUACUAUGAAUGAACAUUUCAUUCGUUCUGCUAGGUGUAGGUUUUGCCAGCUGUUCCAUUAAGGGACACUCUAUGGCACGGGUUGGCAAACUUCUUUUGUAAAGGGCUAGGUAGUCUCUCUAUUCAACUCUGCUGCUGUAGCAUGAAAACGUCCAUAGACAAUAUGGAUACAAAUGAGCAUGAUUGUGUUCUGGUAAAACUUGAUUUACAAAAACAGGUAGUAGGUUGGAUUUGGCCCAGGGGCCAUAGCAUGCUGACCCUGCUCUACAGUAUACAUACACAAAGACUUUCAAACAGAAAGAUGUAUACAAUAAAACAACCAUUCAGAGUUAUUUGAUUUACAGUGUAUAUAAUAAAAAUAAUACAGCUGUAUUUGAAUCAGCACU
rnacentral:lncRNA from 1 species